rnacentral:rRNA from 1 species
GACAGAGGUGCCGAGCGUUAGGCGGAAUCACUGGGCUUAAAGCGUGUGUAGGCGGACGCCUAAGUACCUUGUGAAAUCCCACGGCUCAACCGUGGAACGGCUGGGUAGACUGGGCGUCUUGAGCCACCUAAGGGCAGACGGAACAAGCGGUGGAGCGGUGAAAUGCGUAGAUAUCGUAAGGAAGACCAGUGGCGAAGGCGGGUCUCUGGACAGUUCCUGACGCUGAGGCACGAAGGUCAGGGGAGCAAACGGG